AGCUAAUACCGGAUAAUAUUUUGAACCGCAUGGUUCAAAAGUGAAAGACGGUCUUGCUGUCACUUAUAGAUGGAUCCGCGCUGCAUUAGCUAGUUGGUAAGGUAACGGCUUACCAAGGCAACGAUGCAUAGCCGACCUGAGAGGGUGAUCGGCCACACUGGAACUGAGACACGGUCCAGACUCCUACGGGAGGCAGCAGUAGGGAAUCUUCCGCAAUGGGCGAAAGCCUGACGGAGCAACGCCGCGUGAGUGAUGAAGGUCUUCGGAUCGUAAAACUCUGUUAUUAGGGAAGAACAUAUGUGUAAGUAACUGUGCACAUCUUGACGGUACCUAAUCAGAAAGCCACGGCUAACUACGUGCCAGCAGCCGCGGUAAUACGUAGGUGGCAAGCGUUAUCCGGAAUUAUUGGGCGUAAAGCGCGCGUAGGCGGUUUUUUAAGUCUGAUGUGAAAGCCCACGGCUCAACCGUGGAGGGUCAUUGGAAACUGGAAAACUUGAGUGCAGAAGAGGAAAGUGGAAUUCCAUGUGUAGCGGUGAAAUGCGCAGAGAUAUGGAGGAACACCAGUGGCGAAGGCGACUUUCUGGUCUGUAACUGACGCUGAUGUGCGAAAGCGUGGGGAUCAAACAGGAUUAGAUACCCUGGUAGUCCACGCCGUAAACGAUGAGUGCUAAGUGUUAGGGGGUUUCCGCCCCUUAGUGCUGCAGCUAACGCAUUAAGCACUCCGCCUGGGGAGUACGACCGCAAGGUUGAAACUCAAAGGAAUUGACGGU
rnacentral:rRNA from 1 species